rnacentral:rRNA from 1 species
AGUGAACGCUGGCGGCGUGCUUAACACAUGCAAGUCGAGCGAAUUCUAACAGCGUAUCGUUAGAGUUAGCGGCAGACGGGUGAGUAAUACUUGGGCAAUCUGCCCUCGAGAGGAAAACAACCUGCCGAAAGGCGGGCUAAUGUUCCAUAAGACCACAGGAUGGCAUCAUCCAGGGGUUAAAGCUCCGCAAGGGGCGCUUGAGGAGGAGCCCGAGUCCUANCAUGGUAGUUGGUGAGGUAAUGGCUCACCAAGCCGUUGACGGGUAGCCGGCCUGAAAGGGUGACCGGCCACACUGGCACUGAGACACGGGCCAGACUCCUACGGGAGGCAGCAGUGGGGAAUUUUGGACAAUGGGGGCAACCCUGAUCCAGCGACGCCGCGUGAAGGACGAAGGUC